UCACAUUAAAUAUAACCCACACUCCCUGCCGCCGCUGAAUAGCAAUUUCUUUAUCAUUAGAGCUGCCAGGAGUCUUUAAGCGGCCGGAUUUGGCAGGAAAACGUGCGUGUCUCCAUGAGUUUUUAAUCUUUUAAACUCCCAUUUCCUAUUCUCCUAGAUUCGAAAUUUUAGCAAAGUAUAGGUCAUGCAGUAAAUUCGAACAGUUCCUGAUAAAAUCAUUAAUAGAGAUUUGUUCAGGCCGCCUUGACUGAAGAUGUUUUUUGAUCUCCCCCAACCCACCAUAAACAUAAUGUUGGCGAUUCCAAACUACAAGUCGACAAUUGCAAUAAGGAAAUUUAGCAGGUCUCCUCAAAAAUCUAUCUGUCCGGGGGGUUGGAAAACGCUGUGCAGAUCAGCCGUCUUAUUUUCCCCCCAGUCAUGUUGCAACUUAGCGCACAGCGGAAAGCGUGGAAGAAAUUCCCUUUUCCGUUCGGCUCGAUUUUUAUCCAAACUUUCCUCUAUUGUUCAUCGUUUGGCGGAAUUAUCAAAAAUAAAUCCGGGCCUUUUGUGUUGAAAUUAUAUGUUGAAUAGUUCUCCAGCCUUCCUUGGGCACCACGUGUCAUGUCUGGGUUUGAUCCAUUGUUUUAAAUGGGACCACCUGGAGGAUGGGUUCAGGGAAAUCAGACCGACAACUACAUCUGAUUUCAAACUCGAAUACCAUAAAGCAUGACUUCACCGUCAAUAAUGUUUUCCAGAGCAGUGUGAGAAGCGAGGGACGCUUCCGUUAAAACACAAAAAGAUUGCCACCUGGACUGGUUAACAGUGGAAAAUGUCAAUGAUAGUAACUGCUCGUAGCAGUGCGGCUUAGCUACACAACAAAACAGCUCUCCAUUCCUUUCCUCGCUGUCAGUCCUCCACCCCACCUAGUUGGUUGGUUAAAAUCUUUCCAAAUUAAUGCAUUCGAUGUUUAUUCAGUAUUUUAUGCAUGUCUGUCUAUUCUGUGAAAUCAUAUAUAAAUUAUACAGUCAGAUGCAUCACACAUGGUCACUCCAGUGAGGGCGAGCAUCAUCAAGAUUCACUCAGUUUAUUACCUCUAAACGUGACCAGCUUCAUUUAGAAAAGGUGUAAGUGACCAGAGGCAAUACUGAAUUUUUAAAGCCCAGUUUGGACAGACACUAUGACAGAGAAUAAGUUCACAAAAUGUAAACCGCCUGUGUGGUCAGAGUUCAUAUCUAUUUCCUUGCAAUGUGGCUGCAGAGCAGAAUGGAGCCGUGGACAUCACAAAGGUGAACUUAUCAUUCUCCGCUCGUUCUGCCAAGCGUGGCCCAGGGCUUAACAACUUCAAUUUGUUUCAUUUAAAAGUGAUGCAGCGGUCAAUGCUAUUGAUCAUGCGCUUACGAUGUUAACAUUCAACACAGCCCUUAAACCCAGAGGGACUCGAGGGGUUAUGUUACUUAGAAAAAAAUUAAAUAAGUUUUGUAGCAUCUUACGUUUGGUAAUCCGUCCAUUGAUCAGCCCAACCUGAACUCUGUCAAACUGCACUUACCCGGCACAAACCCACACUCACCAAUUCUAAAUAUUGGGACUAUUUCAAACUUAGCGUGAAAUAUUCCAAUAGAUCACCAACCCCCGCCAAUUGCCGGACAGCGAGGACCGCCUUUUGUGUUAAAUGUACAACCAACGUUAAGACUGAGGAUAUUUAGUAAUGCUAGCUAUCAGUCCUAUGCAGUAUUUACAGAGCCCAGGAAGACUGCUGUCCGGGUUCAUCAAAUGAACUAUUUUUUUUGUAAGAGCCCGUGUUUCCUCCCCUUCUCUCUCCCUCUCUCCCCCCACUCCCUCUCUCGCUCAGCAUGUCUGUGUAUUAGGACAGGAAGUCGGUUACACUUCGGCGCUUUAUCUUUCCUGGCAUUAGCCAUUGUGCGUCAGGAAUCGGCGGCGCAAUCCUCUGGUGAAAUGAAUUUCUGGAUGAAAUCAGACCGAAACGCUGAUUAUUUUUCAGCUAACAGGCUCGGAUUUAAACGAGCAAUGCUCAUCAUUUUCGAAUGAUGCCCUUUCGGAACGCUGUCAUUUACGUUUUAAACUCUUCCAGAAGUAACGAGGAACAGAAACUCCUCAGUCACAUUUCACACUCGGCCGGACGUAUUAAAGAAUGAACUAUUUCGUGAAUUCCGUUUCCAAGGAUCACUAGCGACGUUAUCAGCUUUGUAGCUCGGAGAUUCCACCAGGACCAAUUGGAACAGGAUCAGCGCUCAAUGUUUCCACAGAUUUAGUACUCUAGCGUCAACUUUCCGAAUCACAGUGACCUCAAGUGAGGCGCAGGACUCGUUUUUAUUAGAAGCACAGAAGUAUUAUUGAGUUCUCCCGGCACUCAAGAAUAAGCCGCUGAAGAGGGAAUCUGAGAGGCAGUUGGCUGGAAGGAUGGGAACAAGCCGCAGGGAAGCGGGCCUUAUGCUAACAUCGACGCAGCUGAUGGACCGAAUGACUGCUUAAUGAUCCUCAACUCCCGUGAUUUUAUUCUAGGUUGGGCAAUACCAGUACUGAUGGAAAACAUUGACUUUUACAUCAGGAAGAGUUUGUAAUAGAAGUCUCUGAAAAUGUAUGUGUUAUGUUUCACACUUUUUGACCAACCUUUUUAAAACCGUGAAGGUUGAAGCACAGAUGCACACAGGCAGAUACAGACACACACAGGCACAGACACACAGUCCCACCCUCCACACACACACACACACACACACACGUCCACGGACACAGAGACACAGACACAGACAUUCAGAGGUAGUCACACAUACAGGCAUGUACACAGGCAAGACAUGCACACGUGUACACCCAUCCAAAGACAUAAACACUUACACAGGCAGAUACAGCCAGCCAACCACAGAGCAUAUCCACACCCACAGGUACAGACACAUAAACCCACACAAACACAGAAACACUGAGUCAAAGUGACACAUAGUGACACCUACACACAUACGCAGUUGCACAGACACGUAACAAAACGAGCCUAGUUUUAUUCAAAGUAUUGAUUUCUUUUAAAAAUUCGGCCACUCUGCAAUGAAUGGUCCCCGAGCAUUCCUGGACUACUUAGGUAAUGAUGUGGAUUUAGUGGCUAUGCGGUUGCCUAUUGACCCACGAUCACAAUACAAUGACCCAGCUGACCUCUGGCUGACCCCUGACCCUCAGCGAACUCAAUCCACCAUUAAAGGGGCAGGGACGUGCCCACAAAGGCCUGGCUUUUGUUCUUCGUAAACAGGAGGGGGG